AACGAACGCUGGCGGCAUGCCUAACACAUGCAAGUCGAACGAGACCUUCGGGUCUAGUGGCGCACGGGUGCGUAACGCGUGGGAACCUGCCCUUAGGUUCGGAAUAACUCCCUGAAAGGGGUGCUAAUACCGGAUAAUGUCUUCGGACCAAAGAUUUAUCGCCCUUGGAUGGGCCCGCGUUGGAUUAGCCAGUUGGUAGGGUAAAAGCCUACCAAGGCGACGAUCCAUAGCUGGUCUGAGAGGAUGAUCAGCCACACUGGGACUGGGACACGGCCCAGACUCCUACGGGAGGCAGCAGUGGGGAAUAUUGGACAAUGGGCGAAAGCCUGAUCCAGCAAUGCCGCGUGAGUGAUGAAGGCCUUAGGGUUGUAAAGCUCUUUUACCCGGGAUGAUAAUGACAGUACCGGAAGAAUAAGCUCCGGCUAACUCCGUG
rnacentral:rRNA from 1 species